GUCACCUGACACACAUUCACAACAACACAGGCGCUGUGAGCAGCAUCUUUGCCCUGUUUUUGGUUUUUCCCACAAUAUUUUUUUACAUAAGGAUAACAGUGAUAGAUAGCAAAGAGGAAAAAUGUGACGACGGCCAUCGAAGAGGAAAUGGGCCAUAUCAUGAUGUAGCGGUAGCACAGAAUUCAGCAUCCUGGUUGCUCGGUACAAAAUGGCCACAACACAGCAGGCGUGCGUCUGCCAUCCGCUCCAAUCGAGUCCGGCUGUACAUCAGAGACGCCCAUUACCCACGUCUCCCCGGGCCGGGGUGGCCUGUCAGUGUCUGUGAAAGGGUUAGGAGGUGGAUACAUUUCAUGUACAAGUACAUACACUUUUGUUGGCCUGGGCUGACUCAUCAUCCACGGAUUUAAAUCAGCGACUCGCCACAGAGCUCACGCCUCGCAUGCCAUAGCGGCCUGACAUCGCUGCACCAGGCGCAGCCAGAGGCAUCGUCGCGCUCUCUGGGCCUCCCGACACCACCGCCACCCUUUCCCCACAUAGCUCACAUGGCUCCUGGAUCCUGCUGGGCAGGGAGUGAGUAGGGGCAACAACAACAACAAAAAAGAAAAAUACCAUGUUUCUUGGACCUGUUACACAACAUUGUAUUGGACCAACAGUGGGGGAAAAUAGUCUCGUUUUUGCUUGUUUGUUUACACCGUAAACCUUUAAAAACGACUCCCCAUGAGCUAGUUUAUUUUCAUUAAUUAGACCUCUGACUGAAUUUAUGGCGCUGUGAGCUACUUUUUAAUCAUCUACUAUAAAUGCUACUUCAUUUCUAGUUUAUAUCUUUUUUUCUCCAUUAAAAAACACUAAACAUCUAU